UUAGUCAAGUUCUUAUGGGGCUCCAGAAAUGACAUUUGUCUUCACACCCCCACGUUCUCUUAUGAGUUUCUGCUAUAAAUACACCUUCCCCUCCUUCAAACCAUCCCCACCAUUACUAACCUCGGCUAUGGUUUUGGUCCCUUUGAAGCUAACUAGCUGAAAGGCUUGAUAUAUAGAAGUAUGGAAGAAUCUGUUAAGCUCAGGAGGGAUAGCGCCCUAAGGAUAACCAUGGGCUCUUUUUAUUUGGUUUUUGACUAUCAGUGGCGCUAUCCAUCCUGAGUUUUACUGGUUCUUCUUGCUACGAUCAGCUCCUGGCUCCUCCCUGCUGCUUCAGGAUUAAAGUGUCAUUCCUUCUCUUCGAGAAGGUGAUUUAUGUGCGGGCCAUUAUGAGCUAUGUGCUCAUGCCUGGAAACCAUCAUAGCGUACCUUCGUUCAGAAAUACGCCAUUGAUGAAGGUAAAAUGGUUGAUGCAUACUCACUAUUUUUGCACAUAUGUUGAUAAUGUUUUACAUUUAUCUACAUAUCAUACCUCUGCUUAUGCAGCUCUAUUACACUGUUUUGGUUCCCUCUUGGCACUCUGAUCAUGGUUAUGGAGGGAGCUAAACUUCUGCUUUACAUAUAAAUGAUGAAAGUGAUUGUGAUGGUGAUGAUCAUAAUACCUACAAAAAAAAAACUCUAAAAUAAUAUCAGUUUACAAUAGUAAUUAUAAUACAGAAACAAAAUAAUGCAGGGCUAGCUUAUCCAUUUGUCAAUUUUGGGAGUUGGGAUGAUGAACUUAGCGACUUUGUCUUCUUCCCAUCUUCGUGCAAGUCACGGUUCCUAGCUAGUCUUUUUGUGUCUUCUACUUUACAUUACAUCAGUUAUCUAACCCUUUAAGACAAGGGUUUGUGCAAUUAAUAUCUGCACUCAUUUCCAGCUUUAACUCUGAUAUUUUACUCCCUUUUCAGGUGGCUGUGUUUCCACGCUUCCUCCAUUGUUUCCACUAAAAUAUCUCAAGUGGCCAUUUUAGAUUUGUUUUCUAUAUCACAGCAGAAUCUUUUCGGAUUUUAACGUGUUCAUGGAAUUUACAGUGAAAUAAUUAUUCAGUGUAUGUUGCCAUAAAUCUCAGCAUAGUCUGAGGAGGUCCCAAGUUUGAUGCGGCUUCUUGUGUUCCUUAAUUUGGUUAACAGACAAAGGUAUUGCCUUUACUAAAAUCCCUUUUCACUGGCCAUCAAAAUUUCAAAAUUUCCAACCAUGGAGAAGCUUCAACAUCUCGUAUUUGAUUCAGAUUUUUAUACACAUUAUUCAUAAUCUUGAGACCAUUCUUGAAUUUCGUUAUCUCGUCUGGGAAAAAAACAUAUCAAGGCCAAUGACUUGGAUUUCUCCUAAAGCACUGUAGAUUUUUUUGCAAGUUUGAUUAUAUCAUACCUUCAUAAUUAUUGAAAUAUCAUGAAAGUUAAAAGUUCGUCUGUGAAUUUGUAUUUUUAAUUUUUUUUUAAUUAAUAAGCAUUUUAGAUUUAUUUAAACAAUAUAUGUAUCCCUAACAAGGAUUGGUUUGACAAGUCAAUUGGAUAAUUUGGAGGAUGAUUUUGACCGUGUCGGUGGAAAAACAACGUUAUUAUGAGUUUUUUUUAAUAAAAUAAAUUAGAUUAACUCGGAUUAACUUUUUUUUCCAUUCUUCUUGAUGGUUGUUUGUGUUAACUUUUAGAUGGUUGUUUGUGUUAAUUUUUAGAUUGAAUUUAUGUAUUAAUAAGACAACGAGAAGUUAACAAUUUAAAAAACUUUCCUUGCAGAUAUAAAGGAAAUGAUAUCUUUGACAUUUGGAAAGAUAUGCUUAAGUUAGGUGAUGUGCAGAUUGAGGACUAGUUUUGUAGCUAUAUCAGUGUUUCCAUGCGAACCUACCACACAAAUUUGGCUCAAACCCAGGCAAUGUGUGCUAGGAGCAUUUCUUGUUCUAGUUAUCUAAGAACAAGUAUUAGGUAUUCAUCAUUUCUAACGUUUGUCCUUUGGUUGAACUUAUCUUCAUCUUGUGAAUAAUCGCAGGUGGCCACCACAUUGGGAUUGUGACUUGACAUGUCAAUGACCACAAGAAGUUCACGAAGCUUUAAUGGAGAUAAGCCAGCAAAGACAAGAGAGGAGACGACAUCAUUUGUAGUGGCCGGAAUUCAUGGAGGAGGGUUACCGACAUUUCACCAGUCCUUUACCUUUUCUACGCUUGUACAAGGACAAAUUUUAACCCCUUCUUUUCGUAUCUGGAAUACCUUUUUGCAUGUGUAAUCAGAGAGGUUUUCCCUUCUUUUUAUGUUUUUUUUCUUCUAUAUGGUUGUCAUGUAAUGUUUGGUUAUUCAUAAUGAUAGAAUUCUCCUUUGGAUUCAA